UUGUAAGAAAGACUAAGGGAUAGUCUUCGGGC
rnacentral:tRNA from 1 species